UACGUAGGGCGCAAGCGUUGUCCGGAAUUAUUGGGCGUAAAGAGCUCGUAGGCGGUCUGUCGCGUCGGAUGUGAAAGCCCGGGGCUCACCCCCGGAAGUGCAUUGGAAACUGACAGACUGGAGUCCCGGAGAGGAGGGUGGAAUUCCUGGUGUAGCGGUGAAAUGCGUAGAUAUCAGGAGGAACACCGGUGGCGAAGGCGGCCCUCUGGACGGUGACUGACGCUGAGACGCGAAAGCGUGGGGAGCAAACAGG
rnacentral:rRNA from 1 species